rnacentral:lncRNA from 1 species
GUAGACGGUUGGUGUUUGCUUCGGGUCUGGUCCUUGGCUUCUUACCUGAAGCCAGAACUCUUGCUGAGGCACAGUCCUCCUAGGUGCAGCCUGGCCGGUGCUCUGCCCAUCCUCCUACACAACCGGUUCCCAGCCUCCAUUCCGGAGUCAUUGCAAACAAUGACCUUGGGGAACCAAACCAACCACCCCGCCUCCCCCAGGCCUCUCUCACUGGACCAGAGUAGCCAUAGAUGCGGCCAGCAACCAUCCCACCACCCUGAAGAGGCAGUCUUCCCUCUGAUUGGCCAGGCCUGGUCACGUGCCCGCCUCCAGAGGCGGAGUCAGCACUCAUUGACCUGGAGAGGCGGUCCUCCGUCUGAUUGGCCAGGCCUGGUCAUGUGCCUGCCUCCAGAGGCCGAAUCCACACUACAGGACCCAAAGGGAUGGAGAGAAGCUGGGGUGCCCCUGCCGCCUGCAGGGCCAGCGGAGGCCCGGUGACCAAAACAGCAGGAGUCCGUACAACUGACACUCACUCAAUAAGGACUUCUCCUCUGAAUGAACACACAUGGGGACUCCCCGUCUGAGCAGGAAUGGGAGAGCUGCUGGAAAUAAAUGAUGUUUUUUCUUCCUUACUCAAGGAAGUCUGAGCCGGCAAACGCGGUGUGUCCUGAGAACACGUUCACAUUAACGGUGAAUUCCCAAUGAGCAGAAGUCUGGAGUAUCCAGGCCGUGUGUUUAACCUCAGCCGGGGCCCUCUGGCGCGGCAGGGCUCCAAG